rnacentral:rRNA from 1 species
AAUCUUCCGCAAUGGCCGAAAGUCUGACGGAGCAACGCCGCUUGAUCUAUUAAUGCCUUCGGUUCGAAAAGCUCUUUUGUUAGGGAAGAACAAGUAGCGGAGUUACUGCCGGUACCGUGACGGUACCUAACCAGAAAUCCACGGCUUACUACGUGCCAGCAUCCGCGGUAAUACUUAGGUGGCAAGCCGUGCACGGAAUUAUUGGGCGUAAAGCGCGCGCAGGCGGUCAUUUAAGUCUGAUGUGAAAGCCCACGGCUCAACCGUGGAGGGUCAUUGGAAACUGGGGGACUUGAGUGCAGAAGAGGAAAGCGGAAUUCCACGUGUAGCGGUGAAAUGCGUAGAGAUGUGGAGGAACACCAGUGGCGAAGGCGGCUUUCUGGUCUGUAACUGACGCUGAGGCGCGAAAGCGUGGGGAGCAAACAGG